rnacentral:rRNA from 1 species
AGUGAACGCUGGCGGCAGGCCUAACACAUGCAAGUCGAGCGGCAGCGGGUCCUUCGGGAUGCCGGCGAGCGGCGGACGGGUGAGGAAUACAUCGGAAUCUGCCCUGUCGUGGGGGAUAACCUAGGGAAACUUAGGCUAAUACCGCAUACGACCUACGGGUGAAAGCGGGGGAUCGCAAGACCUCGCGCGACAGGAUGAGCCGAUGUCCGAUUAGCUAGUUGGCGGGGUAAAGGCCCACCAAGGCGACGAUCGGUAGCUGGUCUGAGAGGAUGAUCAGCCACACUGGGACUGAGACACGGCCCAGACUCCUACGGGAGGCAGCAGUGGGGAAUAUUGGACAAUGGGCGCAAGCCUGAUCCAGCCAUGCCGCGUGGGUGAAGAAGGCCUUCGGGUUGUAAAGCCCUUUUGUCCGGGAAGAAAUCGUCUGGGCUAAUACCCCGGGCGGAUGACGGUACCGGAAGAAUAAGCAGCGGCUAACUUCGUG